rnacentral:rRNA from 1 species
GACGAACGCUGGCGGCGUGCUUAACACAUGCAAGUCGAACGGAGCGGCGAACGGGUGAGUAACGCGUGAGUAACUGCCCCCCUCUCUGGGAUAACAGUUGGAAACGGCUGCUAAUACCGGAUAGUGGGGGAUGACUCGCGUCCUAUCAGCUUGUUGGUGGGGUAGUGGCCUACCAAGGCGACGACGGGUAGCCGGCCUGAGGGGGCGACCGGGCACAAUGGGCUAAGGUACGGAGCAGAGGGCUACGGGGGGCAACAGUGGAGAAUAUUGCACAAUGGUGGAGACCCUGAGACAGAAGCGUCGCGUGCGUGAUGACGGCCUUCUGGUUGUAAACCGCUUUCAGCCAUGACGCGGUAGUAGCAGAAGAAGCACCGGCUAACUACGUGCCAGCCGCCGCGGUAAUAC